rnacentral:rRNA from 1 species
UACGGAGGGGGCUAGCGUUGUUCGGAAUUACUGGGCGUAAAGCGCGCGUAGGCGGCUUUGUAAGUUAGAGGUGAAAGCCCAGGGCUCAACCCUGGAAUUGCCUUUAAGACUGCAUCGCUAGAAUUGUGGAGAGGUAAGUGGAAUUCCGAGUGUAGAGGUGAAAUUCGUAGAUAUUCGGAAGAACACCAGUGGCGAAGGCGACUUACUGGACACAUAUUGACGCUGAGGUGCGAAAGCGUGGGGAGCAAACAGG